UACGUAGGGGACGAGCGUUGUCCGGAAUUACUGGGCGUAAAGGGCGCGCAGGCUGCGUUACAAGUCAGCUGUUAAAUGCAUGGGCUUACCCCAUGAGUGCGGUUGAAACUGUAGUGCUAGAGUACUGUAGAGGCAAGCGGAAUUCCCAGUGUAGCGGUGAAAUGCGUAGAUAUUGGGAGGAACACCGGUGGCGUAGGCGGCUUGCUGGACAGUAACUGACGCUGAGGCGCGAAAGCCAGGGGAGCAAACGGGAUUAGAUACCCU
rnacentral:rRNA from 1 species